GGGUGCGCGGGGCGCUGGGGGCCGGCCCCCAUCCCUCCGGGAGCUCCGUGCGCCGCGGCUCCCGGCGGCGUGAGGGCGGCCGGCCGGAGCGGUUUCAAACUUAGAAAAGCGCGCUCUGAUCGCGGGAGCGAACGGACUCGUGCCACCUCGAGUCCGAUUCCCCGAGCAGGUGUCAGGCGUGCAGGCGCUGCCGUGCCGGGCGCUCAGCCCGCAGCGGUUCUGACGAGCGGCUGGGUAGGGCUCUGCGGGCUGCAGCCACCGAGCUCGGUAACUUCGUUUAAAAGCAGUACAGACAGGUGCGUUUUCCCGAUUACAGACAAGCAGAGUUCUUCAGGUGUGCGUUGCACUUAAGAAGGAUGCGUGUGGCCUUGCGGGGUUACUCACCGCCUUCAUACGGAUGAAGCAGAAGUGCGGCUGUGGCCGGCGGGGAUGCUGGCGCUGCUGACGAGGACUGGUGAUUCGGAGCCCUCUUCCCAAACCUGUUUCCCACUUUUUAUACAUAACAGAACGCAAAUUUAGGUCGUGGUGUAAUUGAUUCUCCUCAGAGUGCUCAGUCAAGUUGCCUGUUUUGAGUUCCACCCGAAUCCAUUGGCAGUGUGGCUCUCAGCCUGUUCUGACACAGGUACUUCAAAAGCAUUUCUCUCUCCAGUGCCAGUGUUGAAGAGUGUUUCUGCACCUGGCAGGACAUCUGGAACAGGGGGAUCUGUGCUUUGGGGUGAGCAGCAGGGUCAGCCUUAGUAGCCCGUGGCCCUGGGUAUUGGAGGGAACUGCUGGGGAUGGUCACAGCCUCCCCGCUGCCGUGCUGGCUGAGACGUGGGUACUGACAGACACCCAGAGUGCCAAGUUUCAGUGUUUAGUCUGCUUUUCUGUACAGCCCCCUGUGCAGGGUCUGUCAGUUUAAUCAUGGAGGUAUGGGCCGGAAUUUUUGUCAGUUAUUGUUAUUGGUGAUAAUCAUAUAUCAUCUCAGCAUUGGCUUAGGUAUUUAUUUGCAUUCUCACUCAGCAGUUAUGUUUUAUGCUUGGAAGUGAUUGCUAAAACGCUUACUUUUCAACACUGAUUCUUUUCCUGUGCAGCACAAAAAUAAACUGUUUUGUGGAAGCAGAAAUGCUUGGUAGUGGUAGGACUUUGUGCGUUUGUCUAACGCAACGUGCUGUUGCAAGGACAAUCAGCAUAGAAAACCAGGACUUCGAGCUCUGCAUCUCUGCUUGAUCUCUACUUGCUGGGUGAUAUGAGGAGCUGCUUCCCAGAUCCUCUUGAUUUUGUUUGAGAAGUUAGAAUUACCUGUAAUCACUGGUAAACCAAGAGUCCCGAACGGAGAAUAAUGACAAGCGCCUACCUAGAAGCAGCUGCAUACAUGUGUGCGGCCCUGGCACACCUGGAAAUAGGGUAACCAUGCUGGGUAGAGCAAAGGACUGGAGAGUGAUGCUACCAAGGCAUAUAAAACCCUCACAAGAGAGCCCAUUUUGUGAUGUGGAGGCAAUACUGUGGGUCUGAGAGAAUGCAGGACUAAGGCCUUGGAGAAUUCUGAUCGCAGUGCUGGCUUGUGGCUGUGCUGAACUUAGAAACAGCUGAGCUGAAAUUUCCACACUAAAAGACAUGACUGCUUCUAGUAACCUUGAGGAACCCUGACUGAGCAUUUCUCCUGCUUCUGCCUGUGCUUCGGGAUAUGCAAGAAUAACAUUGGCAGAUAGAGGCCUCAAGUUCCUCUUGGAUGCAUCUGGAUUAUUUUAUUAGGGAAUCCACUGAGCCUGUGAUCAGUCUGAGUGCAGCUGAUGAUGAACAGCACCAAGAUAUGGUACUGAGCUGCUGAUCAAAUAGGUGUAUUUAGAAGACUUGAAAAAUUAGAUGGUUGAAGCAUCACUCAUAAGCCACAGGCUUCACCAUGAGGACUUUAGGGCAGCCACGGCUGUACGGAGUACCUUCACCAGCAAUCUUUCAGCCUCUGACAAAACUAUCGUUCUUGAAGGUAACUGUGGGUGGUCUUUCUUGGUCUGAUUUCUAGAAAUUCGGUACAUCACUUUCUAGUUAUGCAGCUGAUACUCGUGUUUGUAUGAAUGACUAUUUAAAGAAGGAAAGAUCAGAUGUUUGUUGUUUCAUUUCAACAUAAAUCAAACUUUGUAUUCGCAUAGCAAUUCUAGUUUAGCCCCAGGAAUAGCUUUAGUAUUGCUAAGUGUCUGGAGAGUAUUGACUACAGAGACAUGCUUAUAAGCAGGCUAUAAUAGUUUCUACUGCUGUUAACAGUUCGUAGAAGAAAGGCAGCAUUAUUCAUCAGUGUUUAAAAUGUGCAUGACUUGCAUUGCACAGAAGUCAGAUUGGGAGAAUGUCAGAUUUUUUUUUUUGAGAUUCUGCCAGGAAAGUCUUCAAUAACUGGAGAAAUUCUUUUCACUGGUGAAAUCAACAUGCAGCACAUUGUGUUAUUAUAAUUGCUUAUAGCUCACCAUGAAAGUUGUCUUUGUAUGUGUGGAUGUACGGCUUGUACUGUUUUGUUUUUAUUUAUUCUGCAUUCUCUAUUAUAAUGUUCUUUCCUUUUUUCCAGACCAGAAAGAUUGUUAUUGAGCUUUCCACAAAGCUGAAAUAAUGCUGUGUGUUAAAAAAAUGUUAACAAUUUGAAGAAGUUAUAAAAAUUUAUAAGUUGACUGAAUACUUUGGAAAUUUCUGCAUAUUUUAAUAUAAAUAGGUAAUGCAAAUGUUUGUUCUUUGCAUUUAAAGGUGGGUCUCUGUUUUCUAAAGGUCUUGUAUAUAAAUUUGAUUCUUACAAUUACAUUAGAACAAAACCAGUAUUUUUUCAGAUUGCAUAAUAGGAAAAGGGUAUUUGCCAAAGACACAGAACAUACGUGGUUAUCUUUGAAUGUCACACAGUCCUGAAAUUUAACAUAAAAUAGUAUCAGUUGUUUAAAUGACUUAAUUAAAUGAAGUUAGGGGACUGCCUGUUGCAGUCAGCUGAGGUCCUUCCAUUCAGUUUCUUAGGUCCUGGGUUGGCACACAAAGGGAAAAACCAUGCUGCAUCUGGCUGAAAACUAGAGGAAGUGAAAUUUGUAUAGAUAUCCUGAUUUCCCAGAUCAUGGUGGUAUAACUUGCAUAAAAAUUCACUUUCAGAAAAUCAAAGAAAUUGUGGAAGUUGGAGGAGUUAUUUCAGAUGGAUUUGGUGUAGCGAUGAGCUCAAGCUUUAUUCGAAACUGUAAAAUAGAACAGGAAGAUACAAAACAGAGAGGAGGAGUAGAAAGUGGUGCAAAGGAAGAGGAGAAUCCUCCCUUCCACGUAACAGCAGAUGUUCUUACACAGGCCUGUUGGGGAGAGGUGGCAUUCAAGUGAUGAAGAAAUAAGAGUCUGCACCAUUUCUCAGCCUAGUGAGAAGGCAGCUCUGUGCUCACUUUGAAAGAGGCCAGUGCAAAAGUUACCUAGGGAUGGAUUUUUAAGUUAGUACUUUGGGAGGACUUGUAAGACCCCUGCUUCACAGGUGGAGUAAGGGCAAAGGUAAGCAUCGAACUGUGGAAAUGUGCAUCAGGGCAGGCGUACAUACAAAUACAUGUUUUGAGUUGUACCCAAGGAAGAGAAGUACUUUUUUUCUGAUCUGCAGAACUUCAGACAAGGAUUCCACAUACUCCAGUAAAAAUAGUGCAAAUCAGUCCAGCAUAAGCAUUUCUAGAGGCUGCAACACAUUAUCUGUGAGUCUCUUUUUGCGACUUAAUUUUAAAGAUUUAUGUUCCAAUGGUGAGGAACAUAAAGGAAGUACUUCCAUGUAAUGGAAGUGUGCAGUUCAGGUCGCUCCUAGGAAAUGCAUGGUUUUAAUCGAGUAACAGAUCAUGAGCUAUAUUUGUAAAGGUUAUACAGCAGUUUCAAAAACAAAAGCAUUUAAGAAAACCAUGCCCUUCUGCAGACCAUUGGCAAACAGAAAAAGAGCCAGAGUUCAUCAAUAGAUGAGUCAGUGCUUCUAUAUCCUUCCCUGAGAUACCCACAUAAAAUUCUUGCUGGCUUCAGCAGGAAUUGUGGUCAGCCAGAAGAAGAGUGUGUUCUCUUGGCUCUGCUCAGGCCUAACUUUGAUCUCACAAAUUCAUUGGCAAUUUUUGGCGAGUAAAGAGGAAAGGCUGUCCUAACUGAGAAGGUGCUUUAGCUAUCCUCUUCCUUCUCCCCUCCCUUCCUUUUUCUUGCUUCUGCUUACCUUGUGGCCUGGGACUUUCUGUCCAUUUUGUGACCACAAGACCGGUCUCACUGCAAAGCCUUGGUUUGUGAGUGACAGCCAUAAAAUUUCUUGCCUUUAUUUCUCCAUCUCUGCUUUCUUACAGAGGACUUUGCCCUUGCUGCAGGGAUGCUCAUUUGCUUGCAAGAGGCAGCAGAAGAGCCCAUGCUGGAAGUGGAGGCCACAGCUACAGCAGCUAAAUCCCACAAAGCAUGUUGGAGAAGAACAGGAUAUUCUGGUGGCUACUGUCUUGUGCAUGUCAUGAAGCAAAGGGGCUGUGAUGCGAGUACUCUGGGCACCGCAGAGGAGCUUCCCACUGAAUGCAGCACAGCGGCACAGCUGCUGAGGAGAGCAUGGCAACAGCAAGACAUGGCAUUCACUGAAGAAAGCACUUGACAAGCCAUGUGAGAACCAGC